rnacentral:rRNA from 1 species
UACGUAGGGACCGAGCGUUGUUCGGAUUUACUGGGCGUAAAGGGCGCGUAGGCGGCGCGGUAAGUCACUUGUGAAAUCUCUGAGCUUAACUCAGAACGGCCAAGUGAUACUGCAGUGCUAGAGUGUGGAAGGGGCAAUCGGAAUUCUUGGUGUAGCGGUGAAAUGCGUAGAUAUCAAGAGGAACACCUGAGGUGAAGACGGGUUGCUGGGCCAACACUGACGCUGAUGCGCGAAAGCCAGGGGAGCAAACGGG